CGUCCGGCGGCGGAUAGCGCCUAGCCGCCUGUCUCCACGGAGGGCCGCGAAAGCGCUCGCGGAUCCCGAUUCCGGAGCCGCCGACACACGCCGACGGAUACGCGAACAAUACGGACGGCUCGUGUAGUGGUCGUUUACGCCGUUUCGCGAUGCGCCGCGUAUACCGAGUGACGGUUCCGAAAGACGUUGUUGCGCGUGUGUAAAGACGAAAAAACCGUAUAAACGUCCGGACGUUUCCGAUACGGACGCGGGAAAACGACGCAGUGCCGUAGUCGUCGAGGACGCGGGAACCACCGUCGCCGUCUGGCCGGCCGACCGACCGAGAAUCCGCGUUUCGCGACCGCCGUCCGGGCACCGCGAACGUCGCGCGGGACACACUCGGAUGCAACAGGUUUCGCGCCGCGCAGCGUGUGUCCCGGCCGCGGUGGACACGAAAUCGUCGUGAGUGUGUGCGCCCGUCGAAAAGACCGCGCCCGCGUCGUGCCGUCCGCGUACGUUUUUCGAGUUUCUAGGAUUAGGAAAAACAAUUUUACUUUUUUUUUUUCUUCGUUUCAUUAUUAUUAUCGUUUAAGUUUUUUUUUUUCAACCCGUUUGUUCACGACGGCAGUGUAUUGUCAAGUAAUAUUUAAACGUAAGCGCAACAUGCAUUAAUAUUAUCAGGUUUUAUUAUAUCGUUAAGGAUUUUAGGUUUACGAGGAAUGUUAACGAUAAUAUAAUACACGCAAUGAGUAGCAGAAUUAAUUUGCGGUUAUUUUUAAGUAAAAACGUACUAUAAGUAUAAUAAAAUGUGUGCUAAUAUAAUAAUAUGUCUAUAUGAAGGUUAGGUUAACAACAGACGGGGCGCCCGACGGACACCCGUGGGGGGGGGGCGAGGACCCGCCGUAACGGUUUUUCGCGUACGAAUGCGUUUUUCCGCCCAUCCCGCCGACGGAUUCUGGUACGACGCACGCACGCGCGCGCGGAUAUCCGGCAAUACGGCCGCGGCCGCGGAGAAAACGACAAACCGAGAACCGACGGACGUCCGCCCCACCCCCGGGCCCAUCCGGACAGCGCGCCGUCCAAAAAAAAUAAAAAAAAUAAAAAAUAAAAAAAAAAAUAAAUGUCUUUAAUAUUAAGGAAUUUUAGCAAUAAGAUGAUUAUUCACCAAUAUUAACGUUAAGUUCGUAGAAGUUAAGGGAUAAAAAAAAAAAAUAAAUAAUUUAUAAUCACACAUAUAUAUUUAUAUAUAUUUAUUAAAAAAACAUCGAUGUACGAGUAGUUGACUAGGUAUAAUACACAUAUAUUCUCUUAUUAGCGGGUAGGUACGUCGGUGUUUUGGAACGUAGAUUUUUCUUUUAGACGCUUAUUGGUUAUAUAAAAUAACGUUUAUGCACGCGAUUUUUAAAAUAAAUAUUAUUACUCGCACUAUAUAUAUAUUAAAAAAAAAAAAGAGGAUGGACGCCAGAUAUUUAAAUUUUAAGUUUCAUUUCAUUAAUAGAACAUAAGGACAAAAAAAAUUUAAAACGAUAUUAAAAAAACGCAAAAAAAGUUUUUUCCUCUUUCUCUCCCUGUCCCUCACUCUCUCUUCGUCUUAUGAACCGCCACAUUAUAACAUCAUAUUAUAAAUUAUUAUUAUUACCCGCCCGUAAUGUUAUCACCAUUAUUAUUAUUAUUAUCAUUUAUUUAUGUUACUCCGUUUUAUUAUAAACCCGAUCAUAUUAUUAUUAUUAUUAUUAUUGUAUCCACAGUAUGUUCAUUUAUUUAUGUUACUCCGUGUUAUUAUACACCCGAUCAUGUUAUUAUUAUUAUUAUUAUUGUAUCAUCGUUUAUAUAUUUUCUUAGUGUUGACGGUUCUGACUAAUCUACUAUCCCCCCCCUUCCACUUAAAAUACAUUAUUUAGCAUAGAUGCCGCGAAUAUUACGAAAAAAAAAAAAAGGAAAAAAAAACUGUUAUAUUACACCGUGGCGAAGUUUUUGUACUUUUUUUUUUGACGUGUAUUACGUGACACAUUAUUAUUAUGAUCCCGUCAAAUUCCGUUAUAUCGUUUUAUUAUUUACUACCCCUCUAUUUACCCCUCAAUUUACCUUGUAGCGUAUAUUUCGUAAAUAUUACGGGGGGGAAAGAAAAAAAAAACUGUUACAUUAUACCGUAGUGAAGUUUUUGUAAUUUUUUUUUUUUUUUUCCCCGUAAUUUUUACGAGUUUGCGUAGUACCCCGGCACAUUUUUGUUUUGUUCUCAUUGUCUACUGCAGUUAUCGCUGUACAAACGUAUUAUAAAUAAUUAUUGUUACUACAACCCGUCUCCCCGCCCUAAUGAAUGUGCACAUCACUCAGUAUGUACGUGUGCCGCCAAAACAUCACGAAAAACUAUUGUGUUUUAUAACGUGUGUCACGGCGGAAUACUUAUAUACCCUUUUAUAUUAUUUUGAAUUAUUAUAUUAUGUUUUAUUAUCGAUUUUUAUUGUCAAAUUUUAAAUACCCUCUCUCCACUCAUCCCUCUUAAAAUACUUACUAUGCUGUAGACGUGUCGCGAAAUAUUACAAAAAAAAAAAAUGCACUGUUAUAUUACACCGUUGCGGAGUCGUUUUCUGAUUGUGUAUUUACGCGUACCGAAUUUAGUUUUUUUUUUUUGUUGUUGUAACGGUUUUACCGAACGACCCGCACCCGUUUUUGUAAUAAUAAUAUUAUAAUCGUAUUGUACGGCUCAAGAUUAUGAUUUUUGAUCCAUUUAAAAUACAUGUAUACCGUAGAUGUCGCAAAAUGUCGCAUAAAAAAAAAACAAACUGUUGUAUUGUAACAUGUUGUGAAGUUGUUUUUUUAUUUAUUGUGUAUAUUAUGCUGAAAAUAAAUAGUCCCUGUAGUCCGAAAU
rnacentral:lncRNA from 1 species